UUUUUUUUUCAUGUUAGUUGUUUGAUUCUUAGGAUUAAAUCCUGACAAAAUCUUUCCCAAGGAAUCAUUUGUUCUACAUAUCAUAGAAAUUCUAACAUCUACUCCAACAUCUUGGAAGAAAUCUUUUUGUUUUUCCUAUAAUACAAUGGAACAGACUCAAAUCCUAGGAACUCAAUAGGCAUAACAUUCUAAUUCUGUGUGUUUUCUAUUCCUGCGUUUUCACAAUCUGGUGAAUCAAAGAGGCCCUAAGGCUUUUGCCGCAAAAAAAGAAGGCCCUAAGGCUUGAGCUGAUCCUGCGGCAGGCAGGGUCUCGCCUAUCCUGAUCAGCAGUACACUACGAAUCAGCCUGUGGUUGGAUGGUUAGAGGGACUGUGGUAUCUCCAGCUCACCCGGGUUCAAAUCCUGGUGCUCGUAUUUAUUCCUGGAUUUAUUUCAGGAUUUCCGGUGAUGCGCAUUCAGUGGGAGGAGACGUUCCCGUCGACGACGAGGUGCCUAUAGUGACUUCGUAAAUCUCAAGAUGAUAUGCCGGCUCAGUCAUUCGGAGGUGCUUAAAAAAAUUUCGCAAAAAAGUACGGUGUGCGUGUGUGCGUUCAUAGGGGUGAGUGUAUGCGCGUGUAUAUGAGCGCUUGUGUCUGUACUGAUGUUAAAAAAAAUCAGCAGUACACUAUUACCACGUACGAGCAUAGAUUCGAUCCGAUCGUCAAAUGGUAACCGCGCAAAAACUUGGCCAUCAAGAGACUAUUCCUGUGUCCUCGAGGAAUCGACCACUCCGGCAUAUCAGACACAAGAAGACCCUGUACACACGUAACCCAUCGAGAGAGAGAGAGAGAGAGAGAGAGAGAGAAUAUUCAUGUGCCCUCGAGGCCUCAACGUGAGACCCCCUGCGGCAUAUCAGGACAGGGAACGUACUCCGGUUGUGCGUACGCCGAACGAGACCCGUCGCUCACUCGCGCUACGAGGUGAAACAGCUCCAUCGGAUGGUUGGUGGGCCACGAACAAACUGCAAUAUGAGCCGCAGGCUCUCAACGUACACAAGCUACCUAGAUGCCAAUAGCUCGAAAACGAUAUAUUAAAAAAUUCAAGUUUUUAAAAAAAUCCAAAAACAAAUCUGUGAAAACUUAUACAUAUCCGUGACGGAUCUGUAAAAUUUCGUUAAAAAAUAUUAGGUACAUUUACAUACCCCUAAUUUGAUCCCACUACUCAGAUUUGCCCCUAAUUUCAAAGGGUGCUUAAAUUUGCCCCUCUGCCGUUAGUAGCCCUUCUAGAAAUGCCCUUCGGCGCCGUUACCGUUUGGUCAAAGGGCGUCAAAGGGCCAUGACCGUCUCGGAAAAAAAAUAGCAAAAAAAAUCAAAAAAUUCUGAAAUUUUGUGGGAUCGAAGGUACUCAAGUGCGCAAGGUGCGUGCAAAUUUUUUUGUUGUUUGGACACUCUGCGAGCUCUCAGUUUCUGUUAUUUAUUUUCCUUCACAUGAGUGGUUGCUCUUUAUUUUCCCUCCACAUGAUUCUAUUCUGCAAAAAUUACUACUGAUUUAAUUUGGCAAAGAGGAACAGUACUGUAGGAACAAAACAAGUGAUCCCAACCUACAGACAGAUGUAUAAGCCAUUGCAUGAUCACCAUGAAACCCCACAACUAACACUCAUCACUAAUCCAGCAUACAAUCUAGUUUCAUUUAUGUUUUUCAUACUACUGUAUUUAUAGUUUAGAAUUAACUAUUCCCGGGGGCCUCUCUUAGUUUCCUUUUCACUUGAGUCCUCAUUUUCAGUUUCACGUCCCUCCUGCACUUCCUAUUCAUUUCUUGUUUCUUUUCUUCAUCAACAUUCAGAACAUAACAAGAAGAAAAUCAGGAACCGAAAUUCAGAGCAUCAUAAGAAGAGAAAUAGCACAUCAGAGCAGAUACUCUGUGCAUUUCUUGCGCGCAUUUGCUGGUCAGUUUAGUAAACUUUGCCGAAGCCUGCAAAACACAUUUAAAAAAAAGCAUAUAGGCUGUCAACACUGAAUAUUGCAAAGAAAGUGAAAGAACGUAGAUGUAAGAAAACUGAGCACAUGUUUCCCAAAUGCUACUGACUGUCUCAAAUUUAGAUAGUUCGGCCCGUCUUGUGAGUAUCCUUGCCCUCACACUUUGUAGCUUCCUCCUCGUGAGGGAAACAUUCACCCCACACAAUCUCUGACCCACUUUGUAAGGUCCAAUUAGUAUCUUUGCCUCCACAUAUUGGAGCUCUUUAAAGCACCCCAUGAUUUUUUUUCUAUCAGAACUCAUUUUUCUACUGUCAUUCUCAUUUUAGUAUUACCUAUAAUGCAAAUGAAGUUACAUUGUUAUGAAUAUAUAUAAUAAUAUUGCACAACCUGUGAGUUAUUCUAUACCUUUGCAUCUGUACUCAGUUGUCAUGGACGAGAGUGCUUUGCACACCGGACUUCCUCUCCAUUUCAUUGUCCUCCAUUUUCCCAUCUUUGCUCUGAUUCUCCAUCAGAUUUUGUCAUGCAGUACUUAGGGCAACUACAACUGUCUGACCCAAACAGACACGGAAUUUGUAUGUUUUUUUGUCCGUUUGGGUCGACAGUAGGGGUGGCAUCCGCCCCUUGUCUAUGAUUUUCCAGGCAGUGCGUCCAACCGGCCAACUCAUUUAUUCCGCCUCGGCCGGUUUUCUCCAACAAACAUAUUUUCGUCAUCAAACAUAGCAAGUAGAUAGCAAAAUAAAGCUAGAAUUCAUGCCGGCAUAGAACAUUGCGCCAAAGUAAUCGGAUCUCGGAUAAAGUUAUGCAAAUGAACAAAUGUAAGGUGAUCAAUCGGGUGAACAUAAGCACUUCCCUAUAAAAUUGCUAAGAUUUUAGGGUGGCGCUGAAGUGCUAAAAUCCUCAAGUUCAUGGCAGAACCGUAAGGGCCUCUUUGAUUCAAAGGAUUUUUAUAGAAUUUUUGAAGGGUUAGAAUCCUUAGGAUUUUUUUUCAUGUUAGUUGUUUGAUUCUUAGGAUUAAAUCCUGACAAAAUCUUUCCCAAGGAAUCAUUUGUACUACAUAUCAUAGAAAUUCUAACAUCUACUCCAACAUCUUGGAAGAAAUCUUUUUGUUUUUCCUAUAAUACAAUGGAACAGACUCAAAUCCUAGGAACUCAAUAGGCAUAACAUUCUAAUUCUGUGUGUUUUCUAUUCCUGCGUUUUCACAAUCUGGUGAAUCAAAGAGGCCCUAAGGCUUUUGCCGCAAAAAAAGAAGGCCCUAAGGCUUGAGCUGAUCCUGCGGCGGGCAGGUUCUCGCCUAUCCUGAUCAGCAGUACACUACGAAUCAGCCUGUGGUUGGAUGGUUAGAGGGACUCUGGUAUCUCCAGCUCACCCGGGUUCAAAUCCUGGUGCUCGUAUUUAUUCCUGGAUUUAUUUCAGGAUUUUCGGCGAUGCGCAUUCAGUGAGAGGAGACGUUCCCGUCGACGACGAGGUGCCUAUAGUGACUUCGUAAAUCUCAAGAUGAUAUGCCGGCUCAGUCAUUCGGAGGUGCUUAAAAAAAUUCGCAAAAAAGGUAGGGUGUGUGUGUGCGCGUUCAUAGGGGUGAGUGUAUGAGCAUGUAUAUGAGCGCUUGUGUCUGUACUGAUGUUAAAAAAAAUCAGCAGUACACUAUUACCACGUACGAGCAUAGAUUCGAUCCGAUCUUCAAAUGGUAACCGUGCGAAAACUUGGCCAUCAAGAGACUAUUCAUGUGUCCUCAAGGAAUCGACCACUCCGGCAUAUCAGACACAAGAAGACCCUGUACGCACGUAACCCAGAGAGAGAGAGAGAGAGAAUAUUCAUGUGCCCUCGAGGCCUCAACGUGAGGACCCCCUGCGGCAUAUCAGGACAGGGAACGUACUCCGGUUGUGCGUACGCCGAACGAGACCCGUCGCUCACUCGCGCUAUGAGGUGAAACAGCUCCAUCGGAUGGUUGGUUGGCCACGAACAACUUCAAUAUCAGCCGCAGGCUCUCAACGUACACAAGCUACCUAGAUGCAAAUAGCUCGAAAACGAUAUAUUAAAAAAUUCAAUUUUUUUUAAAAAAAUCCAAAAACAAAUCUGUGAAAACUUAUACAUAUCCGCGACGGAUCUGUAAAAUUUCGUUAAAAAAUAUUAGAUACAUUUACAUAUAUACCCCUAACUUGAUCCCACUACUCAAAUUUGCCCCUAAUUUCAAAGGGUGCUUAAAUUUGCCCCUCUGCCGUUAGUAGCCCUUAUAGAAAUGCCCUUCUGCGCCGUUACCGUUUGGUCAAAGGGCGUCAAAGGGCUUUGACCGUCUCGAAAAAAAUAGCAAAAAAAAUCAAAAAAAUCUGAAAUUUUGUGAGAUAGAAGGUACUCAAGUGCGCAAGGUGCGUGCAAAUUUUUGUGCUGUUUGCACACUCUGCGAGCUCAUGACAAAGGAAAAAAGUAAAUAUAUAGGCCCAUGAAUAGUAAAUUCAAAAAAAUAGCAAAAAAAUUCAAAAAAUCAUGAAUUUUUUUGGCAUCCAAGAUGCUCGGGUGUGCAAGGUGUGUGCAAAAUUUUGUUGUAUUUGGACAUUGUAGGAGCUCGUGGAGAAAAAACAAAAUAUGGCUCGGAAAAAACUUCAAAAAAAUACGCUAUUUUGUUUUCUUUGCUAGAGCUCCACGCAUGUCAUUUGAUAACAAAACUUUGCACACACCUUGCGCAACCGAUCAUCUUGGAUGCCAAAAAAAUUCAUAUUUUUUUGAAUUUUCUUGCUAUUUUUUUGAAUUUACUAUUCAUGGGCUUACAGAUUUACUGUUUUUCAUUUCCCAUGAGUUCGUAGAGUGUCCAAACAUCAUGAAAAUUUGCACGCACCUAAGUAUCUUUGGUCCCUCAAAAUUUCAGAUUUUAACGAUCUUUUUGCUAUUUUUUCGAGAUGGUCAAAGCCCUUUGACCAAACGGUAACGACGCAUAAGGGCAUUUCUAAGGACACCUAACGGCAGAGGGGCAAAUUUGAGCACCCUUCAAAAUUAGGGGCAAAUCUGAGUAAUGGGAUCAAGUUAGGGGCACAAAUGUAAUGGCCCAAAAUAUUAGGUCCAACAAGAAAAAAAAGACCAAUUUUCGUGCAUGUAUUUUCUUUUGUCUAUCCCACGUAUGAAAGUAGAGUAUAUUGUUAUGAAAAUUAACUUGAACGUGUUAUAUAUGUAUUUUCGUAAGUACAUUUUUUUCCAAAAAAAUUGCAAUGUGGAAAAUAUGUUUUUUUAAAAGUCCUCCAAUUAGCCCGUCCUCAUUCCACACUUUUCGCCGCACCUACACGCAUAAAUCAUAGGGGCGAGCUCUUAUUUUAUUUUGGUUCUUCUAUAAUCAGCAUUAUCGUAUACAUCUCGACGGGAUGCCUCAAUUGUUUCUGAACUUCCGUUUACUUUUUGCAACUAUGAGCUUCUGUAUUUUUGUCUUGUGAAAUUUCAAAUGUGUUUUUUUUUUCAACUACUGAGUUUGUUUUGAUUAAUAUUUUUUGAAUUUCUCUAGGUGUUGCAUCUAAACCAUCAAAAAAAUUCAUCCUGAACUUUAUUUUAAUUUUAAUUUUUCUUACUUUUCGUCGCCAUACUCUCGGAUUUGUGUUCCACGACCUUUUCGGGCUUUCCCGUGUAACUAUUUUUUAUUCAGUGAACUUUGAUUUGUUUUUCACGUGGCUUUUUGAUACUUUUUUAAACGCGAAGAGCUCGUUCAUAUUAAUUUAAACUUCACACCAUUUUUUCAAUUAUUAUGAACUUCUUUUGUUUUAACUUUGAAUAACUAACUUCUCGGACCAGAUUUAGAACAUUUUUUAAAAAGAUCAUCGCCGUUUAACAGCAGUUUUUUAAAAUGCCAAAAAUGUUAUCGAAAGUUUUGUGUUUGAACUCCGAAAUGAAUAGUGGACUACCCUAACUCAAUAGUUUGAACUGCCCUGAAACUAGCACGUGAACUUCUAGUAGCAUACAUUUUGGCUUUUUCCUUCUACUCGUGCACUCCAUGUGUGUAGUGCUUCGGUUAUUCUAAAAGUUUGAGUAUUUAGAGGUUUACCUAGUAGUAUGUUUAAACUUUGCAUGUUUGAGAGUUUGAAUUGAAGUAUGCAAUGUGAGAUCGAAGUAGUUUGGAUAUUCGGUUUUUUUAAGGAGUUCGAUGUUUUGGGUGCCCUAUUUUAGAGCAUCUCUUGGAGACGCCCUUUCUCAUGCCCUAAAAGGAUUCUUUUUUACCCUAAAUUUUACAACAAGUUUUGAUGCCCUAUUAUAGGACAACUAUUGAAGAUGCUCUAAUCACCUGCAUUGUCAUGACUCGUUCCCUCGGAAGAAAAAAAAUACAUUGUCAUGACUCGAGAGUACUAGGCAACAUCAACCCAGAACUCGCCCAUCGGUAGACUUUUCCAUACUCCACUGACAACCAAAUUCUCUCCAAGAGGUAGUUAAGUUCUUUUGUUGUAUAGCUACAUGAGACGUCUUUAUCGAAAAAACUACAUGAGAUGUACCUAUAUAAAUAUAUAAUAUACGCACAUGUGUGGCUGUAGCAAGUUGCGGCUGCAGAGGGACAAAGCGUACGUGUGCACCACGAUGCAAUAUUUGUCUGUUUUUUUUCAAGAAGAUAUUUAUCUUGUUCAUCACAAUCAUACAUACACAAAUGUAUAUGCAUAUUGGGGUGCUAGAUACAUCCAUUUGAGCAUCAAGUAAUUCGGGGCAAAGGGCGUACGCGCUAAACUAAACGCGCUUAGAACAAGAUGACAUGCUGAGGAAACUGAGUAAAUUUAAUGGACUUGUUGCUAGUAACUACUUCCUCCGUUUCAAAAUAAUUGAAGUUCUAUGUUUAUCUUAUGAGAUUCUUUAUGAAACUUAAUGGACUCGUUCCCUAUAUUUUCGUACUAUUGAAAUAUAAUUGAAAUUUGACUAACUAUCAAGAAAAAUAUGGUAAGACCUGUACAAAACUAGAUACAUAUAGUACAAAAAUAUAUUUCAUAAAUAAAGAAUUUCAUGAAACUAAUUUGGUGUUCUAGAUAUCAAUAUAUGUUUCUAUAGGCUUGGUCAAAUUUAAACAAGUUUGACUUAUGACAAACUCAUAACUUCAAUUAUUGAUCCAAACUCAUAACUCCAAUUAUUGAUCAACCAUGAUGGCUGGGGUUUAUUUUUGUUUUUGGCGAAAAGAACAACGACGACGACGAUGGAUGGUACAAUCCCAAUUCACACAUCAGUCACUCACUGGAGUAUGGAUCGAUGCAGCUUCAAGCCCCCUAUAUAAACCUGGAGGCAUGCAUAGAUAACUCAUAUCCUCCAUCCGUCCAUAAGGCAUAGCAGCAGCAGGUACAUGCUCAUCUCAUAUCAUCCAGGGUAGUAAGUUACCUAAUUAGCCUACUUAGUGUAUCAUCUGUACGUGACAUGCCACACUUAGCUAGCCGACUACCAUUCAUUGAGAAACUGAUGGCUGCUGCGCCUACCUUCUUCUCCUUCUGCUCCGUUAAGCCACUGCUCCAUUCGGCUUCACCGGUGGCCAGGAAUACUUGCCGGACCAGUCGCAACCGUGGCUUCUUCCGCCCUCCACCGGGGAUAUAUCCCGGGUGGGAGCCUGCGUCUCAUGAGCUGUUGCACGAUUUUGACUUGCAGGUAUAGAUAUUGUUGCGGUAUAAUUCUUGGAUCGCAACAAUUAGUAUUAGUAUUGCUUAACCGGUCACGUUGUACAAGCACGUGAGAUACAGUCGUUUGCUUCAUUUUUUUUGUACUUCCUCCGUUCGGUUUAUUAGUCUCACUCGUAUUUUGACUCAAAUUUUAAUCAUAGUUUUCACUAGCAACAUAUAUGUCGUAUGUCACAAAAAUAAUACCACGGAACUUCUUGCAAGUAUGAAUCUAACAGUAUAACUUUUCGUGACAUAUCACUUGUAUUUUUUUACUCAAAUCAUGGUCAAAAUUCAACCUAAAAUAUGAUUAAAAUUAGCAUGCAUGUUUACCACCGUUUUCUAGUUACCUUGGGGGUAGAUUUCGAAGAUAGUGCCGAGGCUAGCUCUUUCAGUUUCACCACGAAUGUCUCGUUGUCAACAUGAACGUCACAUUCCACCAAAAGAAUCUCCUAACCUCAAGCUAGCAAUUCAUGAAUUUUUUUUCAAGAUAACUUUUGUUUGUUUGUGUAACAUCCUAGAGUGACACCUACUCCAGAACUGAUGAGAAACAUAAGAUGUGUACUUGAUUCACAAAUUAUUGACAUGUUUUUUGAAUGAGCACAAUUUUUUAUAUGCAUAUGUCUUUGAUUGUUAAUUCUCAUAAUAUGUUAACAGAAUAUAAACCUAAGGUAUCAUAAAAGUAUUUUUAUUGAAAAAACUAAUUAUUGUAAGUACUAUCGCCUGGCCAACCUAAGUAUUUUUUUUCAUAUAUUAAUAGUCAAAGCUGGAGAAGUUUUGGUUCAUGCUUUUUUUACAAUGUCAUCUACUUACGAAUUGAGAUAAUAUAUGAUAUCUAUUGCACUUCUGUAAAUUAUGAAAAAAAAAUAAAGAAGUUUGCUCUUUGUGUGACACAAGGAAAGCCUAGUGAAUGUUCAAGCGUUAUUGCAUCAACAUCCGAAGAGUAGACGAGCCAUGUUGACCACUGUUGAUCACCUCAAGCGCCUCUGCAUCGAUCAUUAUUUCCAAGACGAGAUCGACAAUGUCAUGGAUGCAUGUGUGGAUCUCGUUCAUAGUGAUGAUCUACUUGAUGCAACCCUUUCACUGAGGCUAAUGAGAGAAGCUGGAUAUUAUGUUUCGGCAGGUAAGUAAAGGAAAAUCUUAGUGUGCCAUGUAAGAUAAACACAAGAAUUUGGGAAGCUUCAGUACGAUUUGGUCUAUGAAAUAAAUUUUAUGUGAUAACUUUGCUGUAAAAAAAUCUUCAUAGCUGAAGUCUCAAAUAAAUUCUAGCGUUUUCUUGUGGAGCAUAUAAGUACCUCCCUUAUCCCGCAAAAAAAAGUAUAAUUACCUCCCUUGGGACGUAUGUUGUCACUAUGUAUGACCUAUGCCUAAGACCCCUUCUCCACAACAUGGCAGAUGAUGUUCUCCGGAAGUUCACAAAUGAUAAUGGUGAUUUCAACCAUGGGCUCAUCAAAGACAUUAGAGGGAUGUUGAGCUUGCAAGAAAUGUCAUACCUCAACAUGGGAGAAUCAUCACUGUACAAGGCAAAUGAAUUCUCAGCCAAGCACCUUAGACUCGCAAUUAAGUAUUUGGAGCCAAGCCUUGCAAGAUAUGUGAGGCGGUCACUAGACCAUCCCUAUCAUGUGAGCCUGAUGCAGUACAAGGCAAGGCACCAUCUGAGUUACCUCCAGAACUUGCCAACUAGGAACACAUCAAUUGAGAAUCUGGCACUUGCAGAGUUUCAGAUUAAGAAGUUGCAGCAUCAGAGAGAAAUUAAAGAGGUUAAGAGGUAUAUAUAUAUAAACAUAAUAAACUACUCUCCUUCCAUGAUUAAUUUUAUUGAAGAUGUUCAAUAUGCUCACUCUCUUGAUAAGAGAGAAACGCUAGUAGAACUGUUGGCCCAAUUUUAUUAAUUAGUAUUUUGUAUUGCUCAUGUAUUCACUCAAUUAAUAGAGUGGUGGUUUUCACUAUGUGAAAACUUCCUUUUCACACAGAUGGUGGAUGGAUUUAGGAUUGGCUAAGGAAAUACCGGCUGCAAGGGACCAAGUACUUAAAUGGUACAUGUGGCCCAUGACUGUCCUUGAGGGUUUGUCCUUCUCUAGAUAUCGGAUUGAGAUCACAAAGAUCGUCUCCAUGGUCUACAUUGUGGAUGACAUCUUUGAUCUUGUCGCCACACAGAAUGAGCUCUCUCUUUUCAAUGAGGCAAUCAAAAUGUGAGCAUUGCAUUGUUGUUCGCAUAAUAAUUAAGAUUAAUUUAUUUUAGGGAAGCAAUAUAGUCACCUUACUUUGUAAAUAAAUGACAUAUUAUAUAUGUCCAACCGGAUAUUCAGACUUCUUUGAGAUUAAUUCAAAAUAAACAUUGCGUCUUUAUGAGAAAGAUCUUCAUAGAUUAAUAGUUUUCUAAUUAUUUAUUCUAUAAUCAUACAAUGAAGCGAAAACAUUGCAUAUUAGAGAUUGUUUAUGCCCAAGAUCACAUCUACCUUGCUAAUGGAAUAAAAAACUCAUGGAUUAGUUAAGACCUUAUACAUGGUAUAAAAGUAUUAUCUUAUAGAAGUUUCACACACAGAUUGCACAUUUUGACAGGUGGGAUCCUGCUGCUGCUGUUGAUUCACUCCCGAGCUACAUGAUAUCAUGUUACAAGGCUCUUUACACUGUCACAAAUGAUAUAGCCGCUAUGGUUAGAAAAGAGCAUGGACUGAACCCUAUCACUCAUCUCAAGCAAGCUGUAUGUCUACUGGAAUGAUUCUUCAUUUUCUAUAAUUUAAUUUCCCCAAGGAGCUAAAUAUAUUAACACUACUACCUCACAUAUUUAUGUGUAGUAUAUAAUUUGUGAGUAAUCUCUCCUACUUCAAAAAUACUCAAGUUUUUGUGUUACGUUCCUUUAUUUCAUCUGCCCUCUCCCUCCCCACCCACACCUUCUCCAUUUCUGGGUUUGACAAUUUUCCCCAUCGGUUUUCCUUGAAAACCAUCUCAAACUGCACAUGCCUUAUUUGCUUACCAAAUAAAAUCAUGUUUUCUUUGGCAAGCCAAAAACUACUGAUUCAAUUAGCGGCUAAAGUCCUUUUUUUUAUAAGUAAUCACAUUAACACUAAAAUGGCAAGUAAGUCACAUUGAUUGCACGGAAAGUUUUUGUGCCCUGUUACAAUGCACGAGCCAUUUAAUUACCUUAUUGUAUUAAAAAAAACAUAUAAUAAAAUAACACUAGAAGUAUUCAUCUUCCCUUCCUUCAUUUUACUCUUACAGUGGGCAGCUUUGUUUGAUGGAUUCAUGAUCGAGAGAAAAUGGUUAUAUACUAAUCAGGCCCCUACACCAGAUGACUACCUAAGAAAUGGUAUCGUCACUUCAGGAGCACCACUAGUAUUCCUGCAUCUUUUCUUCUUGCUAGGGCAUGAUUUAACAGAGGGCAACAACGACCACAUGCUUCGGAUCAUCUCCUGCGCUGCAAAGAUCAUGAGGCUUUGGGACGACCUGGGCAGUGCAAAGGUUAUAACACACCAACUGUAACACAUACGACUGCAGGAUUAGCACUAUCAACAAUUGUACAUGAAUUAAUUCAGUACAUAUCCAUGUGAUUGUGCAUCCACAUCAACAUUGACCAAAUUAGACAUGAUCUGACAUUUUUUUUCUUCACCCCAUGCAGGAUGAAUCACAAGAAGGGCUCGACGGAUCUUACAAGGAGUUGUACCACAGAGAAAAUCCUCAUGGUGACGUGGAGAAGCACGUGCUGGAGAUGAUCGCCGGUGAAUGGCAGGAUCUGAAUAGGGAGUGCUUCUCUGGGACAAAGUCAACACUAUCGCAUACAUUCAUCGGGGCGUCACUCAACUUUGCAAGGAUGGUCCGCGUCAUGUAUGGCUAUGACGACGAACAGAGGCUCCCCAUCCUUGAGGAUUACACCAGGAUGUUGCUCUUCUGAAUCAUGCAUGCUAGCACAUACAAAUAGGUUGAUAGUUGGUACAACCUUGUGCUCUGCAAUGGGGUUUUGUGGCCUUGACAUAUAAAUAACAAAUUUAAAAGGAAACAUCUAGUCAAACAUGAACUGAACAGCCUAAUUGUGGAUCUAGGCUACUAACUUCACAUGAACAUGCAAAAGUUCUACAAAAGAUAGUUGCAUCACGCUACUGGAUCUAUGAUAGUUGCAUCGAGUGGCUUAUAGAAUCUUUGCCAUUUCAUCUCAUCCAAUCUCGAGAACAGACGAGCGCCUCAAUCGUCCUGAUGCUCAGCGCACUAUUGUGCCUCGGGAUCACCGGCCCGCUGCUGCUAAAUGCAGCUUCAGAGUGAACUGCAGACGCCGGCAUGGCCAGGACGUCCCACGCAAUAGCCGCAAGCGUGGGGUACUUGGUGGCAUGUUCCAUCCACCAUUUCAGAAUGUCAAAAUCAUCCUCUCUUGGGACUAGGCCCUCCCCAAGGUAGCCAUCAAGCUCUGAAGACAUCUGACUACUGACAUGCUCAUCCCAAUCUUCCAAUGAAUCUUUAUCAUCUGCACUGCUCGAAACAACGGCACCACUCGGCUGAUUCAUAGGCUUGUAGUACUCACCAAACAGUUCCUGCACCGCACCGCGUAUUUCGGAUAAGUAGCUCGCUGAGCCUGCACCAUAAGCCUGUCGCAGACGGAAUUCGAUGAAGCUCAUCUUGAAUCUAGGGUCUAGAACAACAGGUAUUGACAACCACACGUAUGAGUUCUGCCAGUACUCGUCGAAUGCGUGCUGCAUCACCAUGACCAAUGUAGCAAUUUCGACAUUCUCAUUUGAUGCUUCUUCCUGCAGAACAGUCCUCACUUUCCAUACCUCGCUAAAGUAUAUGUUUGCCGUCGGAGAGCUCGGGCCAGAAAUUACUUCGAUGGCAUGAUAAAACGUUCUCAAAAUCUUGCAAAUGGACUCAGUAACUCCCAUAUCUUCUGGAGACAGCACUUCUUCAGCAGGAAAUAACUUCUUGAAUUGCAGCAGAAGUUCAAGCCUAAAAUAAAACUUGUGCCACCACUUGGCAUCUUCCCGUGGACACUUCAAGCUCAUCUGUGAAAUGGCCUCCAGAAGCUGUUGCUGGGCCAAUGGUGAAGAUGCAUGUGCCACAAAAAAGUCCAUUACUGCAUCACCAAUAAGGAGAAGUAUGUCUGAUUGCCCUUCAUCAACAACACUGUUUAUCAUGUCGUCCAAACAAGCAAUGUUGCAUAGCUUGCCUCUGAUGGGAAGGCACCCCUUCUCCGUGAGCAUCGCCUUGAGCCUCGCGGUAUUCGCAUCGUUCUUGAUUUCACCAACUGAAGUCAAGCUCAGCAUCUUCUGAUCAAGAUUCCAAUCUCUGAUUGCAUCCCAUAUGACAUUGUAAGAUCCACUUUCAGACUGUGGAACAUAGGCCUCCUUGCAGUGUAUGGUCCUUUCCAAAUUAGUAGGUGAGCACCAAUACAUGCCGAACUUUAUUAUCAUUCUGCGGAUUUUCCAGUCUUCGCCGAUGAAAUGUGCUGUCAGACAGAGGUACUUUACCGUCGGCUCAGGUCCAUCAUCAGUCCAGAUGCUUGCUGACAGAGAGACGCGCCGGAAGGUAAGCGCAAUUUUACGCUUGACAUUCAUCUUUUCCUUCUGAAAUAGAUCAAACAAAUGUUCCUCCAUAUCACUAUGGGAGAUUGUGUUAGCCACAGGGUUGAUGCUCUUGAAAAUCCUUUUCAUUUCUUGAUGCUCCACAAUCGACAGCGGAUAACCAUGGAGUAUGAUCAUUCUGGCCACAUCUUGAUAAGGUGACUCCUGACCAAACUUGCUGGCACUCAUAUCGUCCCCAGUAUUCAUAGAUGAGGUCUUCUGUUUCUUCUUCAGGUUUGGGACAUCUGAUGGUGAUAUGGAUUGAUGAUCUGCCACCCCUUGAACAGGCCGACGGGUUGCGCCACUGGAGCUGCUACCAUCAGUGAAGCAGGAGUCCUCCUGUGGCCUCUCCGCCGCUUCCGGUUUGGCCGGGCAGGAUUCCAGGUGCCGGCGCAGACAGCUAUCUCCGUUCCAGCUGAAGAGAAAGUGGCAGCUCAGGCACUCUGCAAACUGGACCUUGUCGUCCAGAAAGAUGGGCUCAAACUCAUCCCAGACCUUGGACUGAAUCUGGUGCUUGAUUUUGAGUGGCCCGUCAGCUCCAAUGAAUUCUGCCUCCACUUUCAUGCCGUCAUCCUCCUCACCAGAAUGCUCCGUAUCUGCCUGCACAGUAAGAAAAAUAAUCCAUAUCAGUACAAGAAGAAGCCACAUUUAGUCUCCAAGAGGAGGCUCUGCCAGUACGUCCCAGACCUUGGACCGUUUGUGGCGCUCGUUUUUGAAUGAUCCGUCAGCUCCAUCAAGUUCUGCCUCCACUUUCUUGCUGUCAUCCUGCUCGUGCUGCUCAUAAGGAUGAUGCUCCAUGGCUACACAGUAAAGAAAAUAAUAUCCCAUCUCAGUUCAGUACAAGAGAAGUAACCGCAUUUCAGCCCAAGAAAACUGUUGUAUCCGCACACCAACAAACUUUUCGAUUUAAAACCCAACCAAAAAUAUAAAAAAACCUACUACUCCCUCUGUCCUAAAUAAGUGUCCCAACUUUAGUACAACUUUGCACUAAAGUUAAUGCGACAUUGAGACACUUAUUUUGGGACGGAGGGAGUACAUUACUACUCCUACUACUGAAGGACCAAAAUAAAUUCAUAGUACUCGUUACCUGCUCGCUACAUUAUACCACUCCUAUAUACUUCAAGUCCCCGUUUAAGUUCAAACCUAGAUCAUCGACCGAGAACGUACCAAAAUGUGCAACCUAACAUCACCACAAUCCGACGCUGACCAGAACCCUUUCUCAAACACAAAUGUAACUAGAAUCUACUCCCUCCGUUUCUAAAUAUAAGUCUUUGUAGAGAUUUCACUAUGAAUCACAUACGGAUGUAUUUGGAUGCAUUUAGAGUAUAGAUGCACUCAUUUUGCUCCGUAUGUGGUCCAUAGUGGAAUCUCUUCAAAGACUUAUAUUUAGGAACGGAGGGAGUAGUAAGAAUGGCACCGUUGUCUGUAUAAUAACACUACUGAUGCACCGCAAGGUGUUGUUGAUCAGAAUCAGGGGGGAAUGCGGCUGCACAAAAGAGCGCCAGCUAACGAGCGAGGGCGAGAAGAGCAAAGCCACAGGCCACAGGGUGCUGACCUGAACCGAUCGCCGACUCUCGGCGUGCGCUCUCGCCGGACAACCGCCGCUCUCCUCCUCGGCGAGCUCAACUGGGGCGCUGGCAACCGACAGCCUCUCCCUCCCUCGUUCAGUUUCAGAAAUGGGCGGGCUCCGGCUCCCUCUUCCCUUCCCACGAUUCACAGAAGCAACGACUACCCUGAAUGCGUGGGGUAGUGGGCUAGCCCGUAGAAAAUGCCGCCGCGCCAUAGAAACUGAUUUAUUUAUUUAUUUGACUUUUUUCCUCUUUAAAUAUGGGUUUUUUUUUGCUGCCUGUUAUCAUCAGUAACUGGAAUUUUCGCUAGUAGUCCCUCCGAUCCAAAAUAAGUGUCGCAGUUUCAAACUAGUAGUUAGUUCAAAACCACGGCACUUUUUAUAGAUCGGAGGUAGUAUUUUUUUUUCAAAAAAAUGACUAGAGACAAUAUGUUCCCCUUCGUGCCAUUUUCGGGCGAAUUUGGAAUGACAAAGGAACUUAACAAGGAAUGCUUGCAUGAAAUUUGCUCCCAACUCAUCGAAAUUUAUUUAUUUGGCGAGGAAGAACAUUCAAACCUUUGACUAUGCACGCUGCAAAAAACAAUCUCCAGGCCUCCAGUAGAUAUAUUCAAGGUUUUUUAUUUCGGAAAUGCAAUAAUUUCAGGCCUCACUGAAAUAUGCGAAAUUUCAGAAAUUUCACAUAUUUCAGAAAUUAUUUCGGGUUUUGAUAUUUCAAAUUUUACUUAAUUUUAAUGAAUUCUACGUAAUUUAAAUUUAUUUUGAAAUCAGUUUGAAUCUAUCUUGAAAUUUCAGGGUUAAAAAUAUUUCGGACCUCACUGAAAUAUGUGAAAUUUCGUUGAAAUUUUUAAUCCUGGAUAUAUUAUAAGCGAAAAUAGAUAUCAGAUUUGCCAAAACACUAUGUGCAUAUCAUCAUACAUACAAAUAACAGUUCGGUUCUUCCUAACGACUACUUCGAUCACACCCCUACAUUUUAUGCAUCCUUCCAGCUACAAAAUUUUCUGCUGCUGCUGCUGCCCACCCUGACUUCCAGCUACAAAACAUAAUCCAGGAAACCCUUUAUUAUUCCACCCUUCCACCUUUAUACCCCAAGGAACGUGUAAUAGAUGUACACAAACAAAAGAAUAAUUUCGCAAAAAAGCGCAGCAUUAGCCGCUCCCCCCUUUCGUACCACUGCCCAGCCUGUACACUCCAAGGAAACGACGCAUUUACAGCUCAG
rnacentral:lncRNA from 1 species